AACGAACGCUGGCGGCAUGCCUAACACAUGCAAGUCGAACGAUGCCUUCGGGCAUAGUGGCGCACGGGUGCGUAACGCGUGGGAAUCUGCCUUUCGGUUCGGAAUAACUCAGGGAAACUUGAGCUAAUACCGGAUAACGUCGCAAGACCAAAGAUUUAUCACCGAAAGAUGAGCCCGCGUAGGAUUAGCUAGUUGGUGAGGUAAAGGCUCACCAAGGCGACGAUCCUUAGCUGGUCUGUGAGGAUGAUCAGCCACACUGGGACUGAGACACGGCCCAGACUCCUACGGGAGGCAGCAGUGGGGAAUAUUGGACAAUGGGCGAAAGCCUGAUCCAGCAAUGCCGCGUGAGUGAUGAAGGCCUUAGGGUUGUAAAGCUCUUUUACCCGGGAAGAUAAUGACGGUACCGGGAGAAUAAGCCCCGGCUAACUCCGUG
rnacentral:rRNA from 1 species